UAAGACGUAGGAGGCGAGCGUUAUCCGGAUUCACUGGGCGUAAAGCGCAUGUAGGCGGCUGGACAAGUCGUGUGUUAAAGCCCCUGGCUCAACUGGGGGAGGUCAUGCGAGACUGUUCGGCUGGAGGGCAACAGAGGCACGUGGAACUCCCGGUGUAGCGGUGGAAUGCGUAGAGAUCGGGAAGAACACCAGUGGCGAAGGCGACGUGCUGGGUUGCACCUGACGCUGAGAUGCGAAAGUGUGGGGAGCAAACAGGA
rnacentral:rRNA from 1 species